rnacentral:rRNA from 1 species
UCAGACUCCUACGGGAGGCAGCAGUGGGGGAUAUUGCACAAUGGGGGGAACCCUGAUGCAGCGACGCCGCGUGGGUGAAGAAGCGCCUCGGCGCGUAAAGCCCUGUCAGCAGGGAAGAAAAUGACGGUACCUGAAGAAGAAGCCCCGGCUAACUACGUGCCAGCAGCCGCGGUAAUACGUAGGGGGCAAGCGUUAUCCGGAUUUACUGGGUGUAAAGGGGGCGCAGACGGCGAUGCAAGCCUGAUGUGAAAGGUGUGGGCACAACCCGCACACUGCAUUGGGAACUGUAUGGCUAGAGUGUCGGAGGGGCAGGCGGAAUUCCUGGUGUAGCGGUGAAAUGCGUAGAUAUCAGGAGGAACACCGGUGGCGAAGGCGGCCUGCUGGACGACGACUGACGUUGAGGCUCGAGAGCGUGGGGAGCGAACAGGAUUAGAUACCCGAGUA